GGCAGCUGAUGUCAGGGGCUGGGCUGCCGCACGAGUGGCCUGCCGGGUGCGGGGGAAAAUGUUCGAGCGCGAGCCCCCGCGGGGCCACUGGGGAGACGGAGGGCAGAAACGGGGGCCGUUGGAGCCAGCCUAAGCUUGGGUGUAAGCUCUGUCACUCAGAGCUCGGGACUAGGCGCUUUUGGGUGCAAAACGAGUGGCCCACACAACUCCCUGGCUAGAAGAGGCCCGAGUCUGGGAGGGGAGAGAUUUGGAGAAACCGAAUCUCAACUCCAUGAAGUCAGUGACGUGUCUCUUCUCUGCUGUACUCCGGGUGCCUGAAAUGUGCCUGGCAGGAAACUUUCAUUUUGGCCACAUAUGUACCUGUGUGCACGCAGGCAUGUGUGCUUCUGUGAGCAUGCCCUGGAUCUCAAUGCCAAGGUCAACAGAAAGAAAGCAGAGAGUGAGUCACCAGCUAGCAGGAUGGAGCGUUGGAGAGUGGCCUAACAUGGGUAUUGGGAAGCUGAAGGCUGACCUGAGAGCUCCUCCUAGCAUGAGGCUCAUCUGUCAUCAUAAGCACAUGUGGGGGUCUCCUUCACUGGACUGAGGACAUGUCCUGAGUGCAGCCAUCCCUGCCAGG
rnacentral:lncRNA from 1 species